GAUGAACGCUGGCGGCGUGCCUAAUACAUGCAAGUCGAGCGAACGGACGAGAAGCUUGCUUCUCUGAUGUUAGCGGCGGACGGGUGAGUAACACGUGGAUAACCUACUUAUAAGACUGGGAUAACUUCGGGAAACCGGAGCUAAUACCGGAUAAUAUUCUGAACCGCAUGGUUCAAAAGUGAAAGACGGUCUUGCUGUCACUUAUAGAUGGAUCCGCGCUGCAUUAGCUAGUUGGUAAGGUAACGGCUUACCAAGGCAACGAUGCAUAGCCGACCUGAGAGGGUGAUCGGCCACACUGGAACUGAGACACGGUCCAGACUCCUACGGGAGGCAGCAGUAGGGAAUCUUCCGCAAUGGGCGAAAGCCUGACGGAGCAACGCCGCGUGAGUGAUGAAGGUCUUCGGAUCGUAAAACUCUGUUAUUAGGGAAGAACAUAUGUGUAAGUAACUGUGCACAUCUUGACGGUAGCUAGUCAGAAAGCCACGGCUAACUACGUG
rnacentral:rRNA from 1 species